rnacentral:rRNA from 1 species
UGGGGAAUAUUGCACAAUGGGCGCAAGCCUGAUGCAGCCAUGCCGCGUGUAUGAAGAAGGCCUUCGGGUUGUAAAGUACUUUCAGCGGGGAGGAAGGGAGUAAAGUUAAUACCUUUGCUCAUUGACUUUACCCGCAGAAGAAGCACCGGCUAACUCCGUGCCAGCGGCCGCGGUAAUACGGAGGGUGCAAGCGUUAAUCGGAAUUACUGGGCGUAAAGCGCACGCAGGCGGUCUGUCAAGUCGGAUGUGAAAUCCCCGGGCUCAACCUGGGAACUGCAUUCGAAACUGGCAGGCUAGAGUCUUGUAGAGGGGGGUAGAAUUCCAGGUGUAGCGGUGAAAUGCGUAGAGAUCUGGAGGAAUACCGGUGGCGAAGGCGGCCCCCUGGACAAAGACUGACGCUCAGGUGCGAAAGCGUGGGGAGCAAACAGG